AACCCUGAAAAUGACUACCUGACUGCUCCAAUGGGGAGAAGUUCAAGCUGGAGCCCCCCACUAGCUCCCCUCCAGAGACUUUGACCCAGGCCAGGACACCUACCACCACUCCCUUGCUGAGAGCAGCUCAGUCAAGGUGAAGGGAAACUGCACCACUGACCACAUCAGUGCCGACAGGCCCUAGCUGAAAUUUCACAGCCAUCUGAACAACAUCUUCAACAAUCUGCUGAUCGGUGCGGCCAACAUCGAGAACGCCGCCGUCAACAAGAUCAAGAACCAGCUGACGGGAGAGUAUGGUGGGGUGCCAGAUGUGGCUCGCUACUACAAGGCUAACGGAGCGAGCUGGGUGGUAGUUGGUGACGAGAACUGUGGAGAGGGAUCCAGCAGAGAGCACGCUGCCCAAGAGCCACGACACCUGGGAGGACGCGCCAUCAUCAUUAAGAGCUUUG